GCAUAUCAAUAAGCGGAGGAAAAGAAACUAACAAGGAUUCCCCUAGUAACUGCGAGUGAAGCGGGAUGAGCUCAAAUUUAAAAUCUGGCGUCUUCGGCGUCCGAGUUGUAAUUUAGAGAAGCGUUUUCCGCGCCGGACCGUGUACAAGUCUCCUGGAACGGAGCGUCAUAGAGGGUGAGAAUCCCGUCUUUGACACGGACCCCCGGUGCUCUGUGAUACGCUCUCGAAGAGUCGAGUUGUUUGGGAAUGCAGCUCAAAAUGGGUGGUGAACUCCAUCUAAAGCUAAAUAUUGGCGAGAGACCGAUAGCGAACAAGUACCGUGAGGGAAAGAUGAAAAGCACUUUGGAAAGAGAGUGAAACAGUACGUGAAAUUGUUGAAAGGGAAACGCUUGAAGUCAGUCGCGUCCGCCAGGAUUCAGCCUCACGGUGUACUUUCUGGUGGACGGGCCAGCAUCACUUUCAAUCAUCGGACAAGGUCGAGAGGAAUGUGGCACCUUCGGGUGUGUUAUAGCCUCUUGUCGUAUACGGUGACUGGGAGUGAGGACCGCCUUUGUAGGAUGCUGGCGUAAUGGCUUUAAACGACCCGUCUUGAAACACGGACCAAGGAGUCUAACAUGCCCGCGAGUGUUCGGGUGGAAAACCCGUGCGCGUAAUGAAAGUGAAAGUUGGGAAGGCUGUCGCGGCCUGCACCGACGCCCGGACUUGAGAUUUAUCGAAGGUUCUGCGGUAGAGCGUGUAUGUUGGGACCCGAAAGAUGGUGAACUAUGCCUGAAUAGGGUGAAGCCAGAGGAAACUCUGGUGGAGGCUCGUAGCGAUUCUGACGUGCAAAUCGAUCGUCAAAUUUGGGUAUAGGGGCGAAAGACUAAUCGAACCAUCUAGUAGCUGGUUCCUGCG
rnacentral:rRNA from 1 species